AUUGAACGCUGGCGGCAUGCCUUACACAUGCAAGUCGAACGGUAACAGGUCUUCGGAUGCUGACGAGUGGCAAACGGGUGAGUAAUACAUCGGAACGUGCCCGAUCGUGGGGGAUAACGAAGCGAAAGCUUUGCUAAUACCGCAUAAGAUCUACGGAUGAAAGCAGGGGACCGCAAGGCCUUGCGCGAACGGAGCGGCCGAUGGCAGAUUAGGUAGUUGGUGGGAUAAAAGCUUACCAAGCCGACGAUCUGUAGCUGGUCUGAGAGGACGACCAGCCACACUGGGACUGAGACACGGCCCAGACUCCUACGGGAGGCAGCAGUGGGGAAUUUUGGACAAUGGGCGAAAGCCUGAUCCAGCCAUGCCGCGUGCAGGAUGAAGGCCUUCGGGUUGUAAACUGCUUUUGUACGGAACGAAAAGACUCUUUCUAAUAAAGAGGGUCCAUGACGGUACCGUAAGAAUAAGCACCGGCUAACUACGUGCCAGCCGCCGCGGUAA
rnacentral:rRNA from 1 species